CAGCCGCCGCGGUAAUACGAAGGGUGCAAGCGUUAAUCGGAAUUACUGGGCGUAAAGCGUGCGUAGGCGGUGAGUUAAGUCUGCUGUGAAAUCCCCAGGCUCAACCUGGGAAUGGCAGUGGAUACUGGCUCGCUAGAGUGUGUCAGAGGAUGGUGGAAUUCCCGGUGUAGCGGUGAAAUGCGUAGAGAUCGGGAGGAACACCGAUGGCGAAGGCAAUCCCCUGGGCCUGCACUGACGCUCAUGCACGAAAGCGUGGGGAGCAAACAGGAUUAGAUACCCCCGUAGUCCCUGUCUCUUAUAC
rnacentral:rRNA from 1 species